GGUCUAGCCAUCAGGAAGGUGUUUUAGAGCAGUUAGAAGAUAUUGAAUUAAUAGUUUCAGAUAUUUUUUCUUUCAAUGAGUAAUUUAAAUUCACCUGUUCAAAGUGCAAGUAAGUUACUGCAUUGGUUUGGUGUACGUUGUUCCAUCCUGGGUCUUUUUUUAAUUCAAAAAGUUUCUUAUAUAAACUAACUAAUGGAUUGAGGAUACUGAUAUGAGUCUUGUUGCAUGCUGGGUGAACGGCUGCCAAGUUUGAUUAAGAUCAGAGAGGUCAACAGGAGCAGAAAAAGCAAUAGGCCCAGUACACUUUUAAUGUGUAGUUAUUUAUGAGGUAAUAUUUGUUUGCAAAUGUAUUUCUUUUUCAUUUAAAAAUAAAUUUAGCUGUGUCAAUUAGCAGUUAUAUAAAGUGAUUUCAUCAGAACUAUACACACACAGAUAUAAAUUUGUACAGAGGCAGAUGUAUUAUGUUUUAACAAAGACAUAUUUUAAUAUUUUAAUAUUUCAAUAUGUUAACCUUUUACCUCUUUUAGGAGAUGGUCGAAUGGAUUCGCCAGGUCACUGUGUACAAUACUGUACAUACACCUUUAUGGAUAACAACUCCAAGAAAAUUGUAUCUGUAACCACUCUAGACAAGAGAAAAACAUUGAGGAAGAGCACCAAUAUGGAAAAGGCAGGGUUUUUGAAGGGGAUGAAGGAACUGCAGAACAAAAAUAUCAAUGUGUCAGAUGUGGUCACAGAUGCACAUCUCCAAAUUGGAGCAGCUAUGAAGCAAGGAAUCUCUUGGCAGCAGUUGACUACUAUGCCCACAUCGUUCGGCCUGUCCUUCAUAACAAAGAUGGCUCAGUAAGAUACCAUAGAACAUACAGUAAGAAAUUGGAAAGAUGGAAUGCUGUAGAAGUAAAAGAGAAGAAAACCUACCAUUAUAUCAAGGAUCUCCUAUCCAACAUUUUCAUAAGAAGAAUUGAAGACAGGGUAGGGAUGAAGGGCAAAAUUGUUCUCGCAGCAACUGACCCAAGGCGCUUGUCAGCUCGUCUUGCCUCAACUGAACCUCCACCAACAAGAGAGCUGGUAGCUUCAAAGCAAUUUCACUUAACAAGUUGAACUGGAUAUCAUAACUGAUUUCUUUAGAUGGUGACAUUGACUCUAGCAUUCACUUUAAUGAUGAUGAUGUGUUUUUGAUGAAGAUGAUUUGUUUGCUAAUGAUGAUAAUGGGGACAAUAACAUGUGAUGAUGAGGUUGCUGACGACUGAUAUGUUGUGAACACUGAUUUUCCGAUGAUAUGUGAUGGUUGUUGAUAAUGAUCAUGAUGAUGCUACACUGUAAUGAUGGUGGUUGCUGAUGUGCUGUUGUUAAUGAAAAUAU